CACCAGCGCCACGAGUGGCUAUCGCGAUUAUUGGGCCUAAAGCGUCCGUAGUCUGCCUUGUACAUCUUCUGUGAAAUCGUUGCGCUUAACGUAACGGCAUGCGGAAGACACGGCAAGGCUUGAGAGCGGGAGGCGUCGAGGGUACUCCAGGGGGACCGGUAAAAUGGUAUAAUCCCUGGAAGACCACCUGUGGCGAAGGCGCUCGACGAGAACGCAUCUGACGAUGAGGGACGAAAGCCAGGGGAGCAAACCG
rnacentral:rRNA from 1 species